rnacentral:lncRNA from 1 species
GUGACACCAAACUUGAUCAGAAACCAUGCCACAGGUGAAGAGGUAUAUUGAGCCCUGCCUGGCCAGUGAGGUUACUAGAGAAUUGGAAGAGGCUCAAGUCAGCAUCCUGCACAUGGUUAUCAAACCAUUGUGAAGUCUUAGUAAGUGGUCAGUGGCUCUGGUGGGCUUGCCCAGUUAGUGGGAAGGGCCAGGAAAAGUAGUCUUACUAGGCCUAGACAGUUACUUCAUAUCUUCCCAUUAUGACAUGAAAAAAGGUCUUAAAGUAUUCAGACUAUACUAGAGACUACUGAGCCUAACUCUCCUUCUCCCAUUCUUGCAUUUUUGUAGAUGAUCUCUUACAAGAUCAUAGCUGGUUGGUCUAGAAAAUAGAUUUGAAUCCUAGCCCAGUACUGUGUCUUCCACCUAGUGCUUUCUCUAGAUUCCAUCUAAGUCCAUGGAGGCCAUGUGAGACAAACAUUUUUAUUCCACACUGUGAAAGGUUUUUUAAAUAGCCUCUGAGAUUGUGCUCCUCUAAUAAAGGAAAUGUCCAUGAUGUAAUUUUUUUAUUAUUCAUAUAGUCACCUGGGAUACUUGUUAAAAAUGCAGAUUCUUGGGCAGCUAGAAACCUUGUCACUGGUCAAGAGCAACAAGUAACAAGACCUACUUGUCACUUAUCCUGAGGCAUCGUGCCCAGUGGGUUUACCAGCAAACCAGAAUAAAGCAUCGUUGCCCUGGAUGUCCUUGUGAGAUGGUUGGGAAGUCUUGGCUGAACUGUGGAGAAUAUCUUUGAAAAGUGUUUUAGAGAGUCUACCAGAUUUGCCAUGUGAGUGCCUGUGCAGCAGAAGAGUGGGUCUUCUCAGUGGUUAAGGUAACAAAGUGAUUAAGGGCCCUUAAGCCUGGUUUCUUUCCAUGGAAAAGAGCAUGACAAAAGACUGAGUGUCGACAUGUCCCUGGCAGCAGGCAUGAACGAAAGAAAAUGGCUGUGCACAGAGGGAGAAUUGAUCACUGUCUGUUCUUCAAAGACACUUCUCUGGCAGUGGUUGGGGCUGUUAGCGCUCACUGCCCUAACAGAGACCUGCUUCAACAGGGUACGAAGAUCCAUCAUUUGGCCCAGCUGUAUUAUGGGAUCAUCUGACUUCACGGUGUCAUUGAAAGGCUUACGUGUGCUAGUGGAUGAAAAUAUUUCAACGGAGAAGCUGGUAGAAGACUUCAUGAAGGAGAAGAAAAGGAAAAAAAUCAAAGGAUGA